AUGGAUCAGAGGAAGGCCCUGUUCCGCGCCAAGCUCCGCGAGGCCAAGGAGAAGCAGGAGAAGCGCAUCGACCCCUCGCUCGUCAGGUAUAAUGAAUACGAUCAGCCCAUCUGUAGAGUCUGCAACGUUACGUUGAAAUCCGAAGCACUUUGGCCUGCGCACCAGGUUUCACGGAAACAUCAUGAGGCAAAAGCUGCCGCAGCUGCUAAAGUUACACCAGCUGCAGCUCCUCGUGGCAAUAAUGUCAGUCAUGAACGACCAGCUGAGACUCAGAAAGCAAAAUCCUCUCCGAUGCCUGCCAAUUUUUUUGACAAUCAGGGAAUGAAAAGGCAAAGUGAUGGUACUGGUUCUGAGGGAAGGUCUGUACGUCAUCAAGUGGCCAGUGCUCAGCCAGCAACCAAAGAAGCAAGUGCAAAUAAACCAUCUGUCAGGAUGGACCAAGCGCCAAAUAAAGGGAGUAAAGGCAGUACGGACGUGAAAGGAAUUCUUCCAGGGAAUUUUUUUGAUUAUACAGAAGAAGAUGAAGAUGAAGUUCCAACUCCUGCUCCAGCUCCAAAGGAGCCCACUAGGACUUCAGGAAAUACCACCAACCCCAAUACCAUGCAGGUGAAAGGUGUCCCAGAUGGCUUCUUCGAUAGCAGUAACACACAUCCCAGCGAAACCAGUGCAUCGUCUCAAGCGGCGAAUAAUCUGGAAACUGCUCAAGUAAAAGCUCUGCCUGAAGGAUUCUUCGAUAACAAAGAUGCGGAUCUCCGUGCACGUGGUAUUCAACCUCCAAAAGUUGACAUCAAUGACGCAUACAAAGAAUUUGAAAAGGAAAUUCAGGAAGACCUCCAGGAAGUUGAUGACCGCCUCGAAGAAGAGGAGAUUGAUGCUGCUGCCGAGAGGGAAGAGUACUUGACCUUGGAGCAAGAGGAGUACAGGCAGCGAGUAGAUAUGCUGAAGAAACAGCUCACCGAGUCCAAAGCCGCACGGACUGCUAAAGCGAACAGCAAACCCAUCGGCAUGGACACAGAUUCCAGCGCCAGCGACUCAUCGAGCGACGACGAAGACGAAGGCACAGAUUUUGCUGUUGACUGGAGAGCACAGCAUAUGAAAUGA
rnacentral:rRNA from 1 species